rnacentral:piRNA from 1 species
CCAACUUGAGGGAGAGAAACUUGCAGU